rnacentral:misc_RNA from 1 species
AUAUAAAUUAGACAACUUUGGCGGACCAUGUUUCCAUGUAAAAGAAAGCAAUAAAACAAACAGUAACAAAAAUCUUUGAGGAGAAGUUGCUACGAGUAAACACAGUGAGGUAUAUCAGAGAAGAAAGUAUAAAGAGAAGGAAUGGAGAAAGCGAGGAAGGAAGAGUUUUAACGAACGGUUGAGAUCAAUCUGGCGGCGAUUGGUUCUUACAAGAACCCUUAGGGUUUUGUUCUAUAUCAAGCAAGGAUUAAAUAUGGUUAGAUUGGGAGUAGCAAAAACUCCAUUUCUUUUUUUUUUUCUUUUUCAAUUCUCUCUU